rnacentral:rRNA from 1 species
UACGAAGGGGGCUAGCGUUGCUCGGAUUUACUGGGCGUAAAGGGCGCGUAGGCGGACAGUUUAGUCAGAGGUGAAAGCCCAGGGCUCAACCUUGGAAUUGCCUUUGAUACUGGCUGUCUUGAGUACGGGAGAGGUGAGUGGAACUCCGAGUGUAGAGGUGAAAUUCGUAGAUAUUCGGAAGAACACCAGUGGCGAAGGCGGCUCACUGGCCCGGUACUGACGCUGAGGUGCGAAAGCGUGGGGAGCAAACAGG